rnacentral:rRNA from 1 species
GACGAACGCUGGCGGCGUGCUUAACACAUGCAAGUCGAACGGAGUUUAGGUCAGUAGUUUACUACAGAUUUAAACUUAGUGGCGGACGGGUGAGUAACACGUGGGCAACCUGCCCUAAAGAGGGGGAUAACACCGAGAAAUCGGUGCUAAUACCGCAUGACAUUAGAGCUUCGCAUGGAGCUUUAAUCAAAAGGAGCAAUCCGCUUUAGGAUGGGCCCGCGUCUGAUUAGCUAGUUGGUGAGGUAGAGGCUCACCAAGGCGACGAUCAGUAGCCGAUCUGAGAGGAUGACCGGCCACACUGGAACUGAGACACGGUCCAGACUCCUACGGGAGGCAGCAGUAGGGAAUUUUCCACAAUGGACGAAAGUCUGAUGGAGCAACGCCGCGUGCAGGAUGAAUGCCUUCGGGUUGUAAACUGCUUUUAUCUGUGACGAAUAUGACGGUAGCAGAUGAAUAAGGAUCGGCUAACGUACCGUCGCCAGCAGCCGUAC